AGGGGGUAGUCGGCUUUAAAAUAUCUAGAUUUUUUGCACUCAUCGCAGAGGUUGCUGUUUCUCUUUUUCUUUUGUUUUUUCUUUACUUCCAUCUUCUCUAGUAUAUCCUUUCUUCUUUGAUCCAAACCUUUUCUUUUUCAUACAUCUCUUGAAUCAUCUUGUGAUCAUGGCUUUUUCAUCAAUAUUUUUUGAUUCUUUGGUUGGAUCACUUUUAAUAUCUUCAACGACCAAUGAUUUUUUAAAGCAACAGUCUUCCUCUUCUUCACUUCUUCCUCAACAAUCUGGUUUAUGCU
rnacentral:lncRNA from 1 species